CUAAGCUUCCAAACCAAAAGAGGCAGAAGAAUCCAGAACAGUGAACCAGGCUCCAUGAACAUUGUCAGUUCCAGGCCUCCAAACUGAAUGGUCAGAGACUCCAGGAAGAAGCAGGAAUGGAGAUUGCCCUACAAGCCUUGCUGAUGCUCCUGUGUGUGAAGCUAACCUGGUCAAAUGGACAGCGUCCAGUGGAACAGAGCCCUCCUUCCCUGACAGUCCAGGAAGGCGAGAGCUUCACAAUAAACUGCACUUACAGAGACAGUACUCUGGAUUUCUUCCAAUGGUUUAGGCAGGAUCCCACGGAAGGCAUCCACACUCUGAUACAUAUUCGAUCAAAUGAGAAAGAGAAGAUCAGAGGAAGAUUUACAGUCACGUCUAACAAAGGGGACCAGCACUUUUCUCUGCACUUGAAAGAUUCGCUCCUCUAUGACUCAGCCACCUUCCUGUGUGCAGUGGAUAGAACAGAGCUUCUCAGACACCUGUGCCUUGCACCCAAACCCUGCUCAGCCCUGCACCAACUUCUACAAGGGCUCCAGGGCGCUGAACUUAACUUUGAGCAAACACGAGGGGCUUUUAAUAACCUGAUAUCAAAUAUUUCAUUUGAAGAUCUUGGGCAGAGGGAUAAUGUUUUCAAAUACCAUCUAAUGUAUUUUGUUUCUCAGUGUGAAGUCCUUACUCCAUUAAACCUAGUCCAAGAUCCUGAGGCUUAA